AGCAACAGCAGCAGCAGCAACAGCAGCAGCAACAGCAGCAGCAGCAGCAGCAACAGCAGCAACUCAGAGUCAGAGUUUCUCUCUUUCUCCAUCUGAAUCCGUCAAACUCUCUGAGAAACCAGUUGCAGCUUCUGGUUCACCAUCUGUUCAUGUUGAUGAGAUGAUUUGGGUCUGUUAAAGUUCAUCAGCAACAUUCAGAGUUGUUAAAGGAAAAACCUCUUAGUAAUAAAUUUCAAAACUCUCACAAUUAAAUAAAUAAAUACAAAAACAAAAGGAGGUAAACCAACAUCUGAUUCAUUUAAAAAGUUUUGUUCUUGGGUUCAUUUUAGUUUAUUGAAGGACAAAGAGAAUAUCAGAACUCCCACAGAUGGUGGUUUACUGACUCGGUGGAUGAAAACCCACAAAGCAUCGAAAGAGCAAGACCUUAACUCUCAGUAUGCAAGUUAAAAAAAGGGAAAAUGUUUUCACAUUUGUUGAAAUUGUCACAGUGUAAUAGAAGACAGUUCAUUUAUGAAAGAUCAAUUUCCUCCACCUCCUCUCUGAGCUACUAUUGCUGUCUGAAGAAAUGCAACCAAUCAGAGCCAGGAGGCGGGUCUUAGCGCUGUCAAUCAAUGCUAAUGGCAGAGAACCAACUUAUUGUUACAUGAAAAUCAUCUUUCUACCAUCGUCAUCGGUGGCUAUGCUAGUUUUAGCAUUUAUGGCAAAAAGCUGAUUUAGUUGGACAGAGACACAUCCAGGACGAGGCUGUGAUAGUUAUUUACUUUACUGUAGUUUAGUUUCAUUUUUGUGACUUUUUUUCUAAUUCAGUUAGUUUUAAGUAGUUUUUUAGUGUGCUUGCUUGUUUAUUAGUUAUUAUUGAUUAAAAUUGAUUAAAUAUUGCUUAGUUCCAGUUGAGUUUUUAUUAGUUAUAGUAAUAGUUCUACGUUUUUGAAUUCUGGACCUAAAGAUUAACUAAAGCAUUGUAUUGUGAUUGUUCAUACAUCCAUUGGGUAAUGAAUAUUUAACAGAGGAUACAAUUUAAAAGUUUUGCUGUCGUCGUUUGUAGGUUUCCUCUUUGGUUCUUUAUGCUGCAAACCGUAGACAUCCAAUAUGUUAUACUAAUACAGAGAAAUGUGUAGAAAUGCUGACAUUUUAAUGUUACUUGCAAAGAUAAAUGUCAUCAGCUGUUGGAUCAGAUGCACCACAUUUACCACUUUGUCCUGAUCAAACCAAACUGUUUUCUCUUCAACGCCCCUGCAGAUCUGCAGCUUUAUGUGGUUUUGUCUUUGGUCGUCAAGAUCAUCUUGUUAUCAACACCUUUGGUUAUUUUCUGCAGAAAGAGGAGAACCAUGAAAAGCAAAGAUUCUGCUGUGGAAACAGAGAAUGAUGGCGUCAACCACGAGUGUCUGAAUAUUUAUGAAACACCACCAGAGUUUCUUUAGUGUUUUAAAAAUCGCCUCAGUGAAACAACUCAGAGAAGAAACCAGAGAGGACGACAAACAGAUUAAAUCUAAUCAAUUAUCUUCAGUUUCAACUUAAGCUAAAAUAUUAUUUAUAUGUUUUCAUACUGAAAUAAUUCAAUCUGUAUCAGAAAUUGCAAAUCAAAUGUUCAUUUCUGCUUUCAUGAGUUUAUAUUUGUCAUUUUUAGACAUCCCAUUCCUAAUUUAAGAUAAUUUAUAACAUUAUAGCUGCUUACCAAGUAGAAACAUUGAGAACUUUCAGGUUAUUUUAUACUUUUAUCUUUAAAUCUGUUUGUAUGGAGUGAUUUUCUGCUUUUUGUAAAUAAAUGCAAUUUUUUUUACACCAAUAAAUCCUUCGUACCAUC